AGUGAACGCUGGCGGUAGGCCUAACACAUGCAAGUCGAACGGCAGCACAGUAAGAGCUUGCUCUUACGGGUGGCGAGUGGCGGACGAGUGAGGAAUACAUCGGAAUCUACUUUUUCGUGGGGGAUAACGUAGGGAAACUUACGCUAAUACCGCAUACGACCUACGGGUGAAAGCAGGGGAUCUUCGGACCUUUCGCGAUUGAAUGAGCCGGUGUCGGAUUAGCUAGUUGGCGGGGUAAAGGCCCACCAAGGCGACGAUCCGUAGCUGGUCUGAGAGGAUGAUCAGCCACAGUGGAACUGAGACACGGUCAAGACUCAGACGGGAGGCAGCAGUGGGGAAUAUUGGACAAUGGGAGCAAGCCUGAUCCAGCCAUACCGCGUGGGUGAAGAAGGCCUUCGGGUUGUAAAGCCCUUUUGUUGGGAAAGAAAAGCAGCAGGUUAAUACCCCGCUGUUCUGACGGUACCCAAAGAAUAAGCACCGGCUAACUUCGUG
rnacentral:rRNA from 1 species